rnacentral:misc_RNA from 1 species
UCAUAGAUUGCAAAGCAUUUACUUCCCUUUGUUAAAAGGAAAGAGUGUAAUAUCCAGUGUUGAUUAUGUAGGCCGAUGAAACACUUCUCGCGGCGAAAGAUGUUACGUAGAAAAGUAGCUGUCGACGCUUCCCUAAGAGGAAGCUGGAAGACGAUCUAGAAGCAACAUCAGCAUCACUGCAACAUGGAGAGUGGAAGCGAUGUAUGGAAGGAUUCUCAACAGGUUUUGCCAAGACAGACACUGGGCACCAACGCACAAAGAAACUCUGCACACAACGAUCACCCAAGGUCCAAGGCUUCCUUGAGUCCAGUUUUGACCAUGUCACUGAGCUAGCAUCUGAUGCAUCGGGGCAGGAUACGAAAGAUGCUGAACUCAUAUCUUGGUCUUCAAGUGAUAGUGAAGAUUUGGAAACCAAUGUGAAAUCUCACGUGCAAGUCAAAUCAUCAAAAAACAGUAAGAAUUGCACACCAGGUAUGACAAAACAAGAUACACCUUCCACAAAAAAGAAAGCAUUUCCUAAAUCAGCUAAACUAGAGUUGAGGAGGAUAUGUCCAGAUUUUGAUGUUCAUGGAUUAUAUGAGUCUACUGGAGGUAUUGACACAAUAUCCAGCAGUUCGGAACAGGAAGAGGAGGGGAUGAAGGACAGGGCUGAGGAGGACAAAAAGCCAUGUGUUCAACUGGCAGAUAUACCCAGACAGGCACUCCUCAACUCUCCAAUGAUCGUGACGUACCAGUCCAGCCAGGCUUCCAGCUCCUACUCACCCACUAAAAACACCUCGGGGCUGAAGGCCAGUGACUGGAUGAAGGCCAUGGACUGGCAGACUCCCGUCAAGGCCAGCAGCAGCCAGGAAGAUGAGCAGCUCCAGCCUGACCCAGACUCAGCCAAAAAGAAGAAGAAAUAUCACAAAGGUGGCCUUGCAGAACAGCUGGCCCGUGUGCAGGCAAGGGAGAGAUCAGCGGUCAGGAUGUGGGAGCAUCGACGCUCUGACCUCACAGAUGCUUCUAAAGCCCUCCUUGUGCGGGUUUUGAGCUUUGAAAUCCUCUUCUCCCUGCAACUUGCUCACUGUGAAGUAGCUGACAUUGAUGAGGAUGGAGGUGAAGGUAACAGCCCAGAUGGUAAUGACAACCGAUGGAAGAAGCAGUUGAUCCUGUUCUCCAAGCAGAUGAUGGAUAAGCUGCAGAUAGACGCUGGGUCAAUGGUCACACUAUACCCUCCAUGGCAACAACUACAGCUGACCAGUCAGAAACAGACAGUGCUACUGUGCACUCAUUACACAAGAGUUGUCUCCCCUGUUACUCAACAAACAUGGGGAGCGAAGUCCUUGGAUUUGGUGAAAACCGAUGUGAUAGCUACAUGGAACUGUCCUUGCACCAAUGAUGCGAAUAUGUCUGUUGCAAAUUGUCCAGUGACACAGUUUCCAUAUCUGCCAUCAUCCCUACAGGGCGCUGAUGUGAGCAGCACACAGAACACAGGUCAUCCUGCCACCCAGUCUGGUCUCCUCCAGACGGUGACGAGCUCACGGCUGCCGGUUGUUCCAGUGUGUGACUCUCUGUUAGAGAGCAUUCAGAGGACGGGGCCUGGCCAUGGCCUCACCUUCCGUGCUGUCAUACAGAGGGUGUUUGUCUCAUCAGCAGCCAGAUAUUCCUUGUUAGUGGAAGAUAGUCAUGGCACAAUGGCUGUCGUAGAGAUGGGAGAUAACUCUGCUCAGGAUGAGGUGACUCUAGCCGAGGGUCACAUGUGUUGUUUCUCUGGGCUGAAAGUUGUCACCAGAUCCAUCAAAGAGAGGAAUGUGGCAUUGUUCAGUGUGCUGGAGGGUGCAUGGUCAGGUCACAGAGCGUCCGUCUCCAGCCAGGAAAGUCAGGAGGAAGAACAAGCAAGCAGCACUAUGAGACACGUGACUUGCCCUGGCUUCUGCUACAUCCUGUCCCCAUCCGAGGACUGCCCUCUGUCUGUCACUGUGACCCCACAGACAGCCCCCAGCUACACAGAACCACACUACCAAACACUGGCUGGAGCACGGCAGAUGGCCUUGGACAAGAGAGUGUCAUUUGUUGCCAGAGUCCUUCACAAGAGACAGUCGGAGGAUACGUCCAGACCAAACGUACAUGAAAACUGGUAUGUGACAGACAGCAGUCUCCCAUCUUCCUACUCAUUGGUCACCUUGUCACAGGACUGUCACAUCCCAGUAUUAGCAGGGCACAUAGCUGUCUUCACCGAUACCUGUGUCUCCAAUGUUUUCACUGUGAUGCUUACACUCAUAUUAUGGAGGAAGCGCCUGUCCAUAUUGAAAACAGCUCGAUGAGAAAGACACACAGCCAGCUGGACUCACUGACAGUGUCCCUUCCAGAAAUAACUGGCAGUGUUAGGCCAUGGAGCCUUGUUUCUGUACAAGGUACAGUAGGCAGUGUUGAUGAGGAUGCAGCCUACACCUGGGAGGAAUGUGAUGGGUGUGGCAGUGACCGGCUUGUGCAAGACCGUGAGAGACCAG